rnacentral:rRNA from 1 species
UGGGGGAAUAUUGCACAAUGGGCGAAAGCCUGAUGCAGCGACGCCGCGUGAAGGAUGAAGUAUUUCGGUAUGUAAACUUCUAUCAGCAGGGAAGAAAAUGACGGUACCUGACUAAGAAGCCCCGGCUAACUACGUGCCAGCAGCCGCGGUAAUACGUAGGGGCAAGCGUUAUCCGGAUUUACUGGGUGUAAAGGGAGCGUAGACGGCUGUGCAAGUCUGAAGUGAAAGGCAUGGGCUCAACCUGUGGACUGCUUUGGAAACUGUGCAGCUAGAGUGUCGGAGAGGUAAGUGG